rnacentral:rRNA from 1 species
AUUGAACGCUGGCGGCAUGCUUUACACAUGCAAGUCGAACGGCAGCGCGGGGCAACCUGGCGGCGAGUGGCGAACGGGUGAGUAAUACAUCGGAACGUACCCAGAAGUGGGGGAUAACGUAGCGAAAGUUACGCUAAUACCGCAUACGUUCUACGGAAGAAAGUGGGGGAUCUUCGGACCUCAUGCUUUUGGAGCGGCCGAUGUCUGAUUAGCUAGUUGGUAGGGUAAAGGCCUACCAAGGCGACGAUCAGUAGCUGGUCUGAGAGGACGACCAGCCACACUGGGACUGAGACACGGCCCAGACUCCUACGGGAGGCAGCAGUGGGGAAUUUUGGACAAUGGGCGCAAGCCUGAUCCAGCAAUGCCGCGUGAGUGAAGAAGGCCUUCGGGUUGUAAAGCUCUUUUGUCAGGGAAGAAACGGCUGAGGUUAAUACCUUCGGCUAAUGACGGUACCUGAAGAAUAAGCACCGGCUAACUACGUGCCAGCCGCCGCAGUAACAC